rnacentral:tRNA from 1 species
GCCUGGGUGACUCAUUCGGUUGAGCAUCCGACUUUGGCUCAGGUCACGAUCUCACUGCUCAUGGGUUCGAGUCCCAUGUCAGGCU